AUGUACUCAUUGAAGGUUAACAAUUACUGCAAGCGGUUCAAGAAUGAGAACCAUCUUGGGAAUGCCACAGUAACGACCUUCUCACAUUAUGCAAGAUACUUGUCGAAGAGCUCAAGGGAAACAGUGAUCCGGAUCGAGGUAUUUGUAAUACUGGCUGCUGUUUUCUUACUGUUACUUGCUACCUUUGGUUCCUACCGUCGCCGGCACAAGAAGUUGUUCGUCCUGAAAGUUGUCUUUGGCGUGUGUGCCUUAUCCUCCUCACUGAUAACAUACAUAUUCGGUUCAAUGGAAUCUUCUGUGGCGAAGAGCAGCAUGUACCCCUUAUGGGCCAUAUCUCUCUUCAUCCUUUACGCUUCUACUGACUCUGUCGUGGCUUAUAACCUCGAUGACACCAGACAGAGCAUGAGAUACUUAUACCAGGCUGCACUCUUCUAUGCAUAUGUGGUGUUGCUUUUGUUCUCAGUAACGUCAAGUGGUGGCGCCUUUGAUGUUAGUACAUCGAUUGAUGGUACACGUCUGAAAGGUUUACUUACCUUCCCAGUUGCUUUUCUGCAUUUGAUUGCUGUGGCAAAAUCUUUGCACAGAGUAGCAGCAUGUCAGCUGGCAAGCCGCUCAUGGAGAUUGAAUAAAAUGGUUGCUGAUUACAUGUAUGAUGAGCACACCAAGGGUGAAUUUGUUCCAGCCACCAUGGAAGGUUGUCAUUACCUGGUUGACUGGCUCCUCAGCAGAUCCAAGCUUGAUGCUCAAUCAUAUGCGACAGAUGAUGAAGUCAUUGACAUUGAGAAGAUAUGGCGGUGCAAUGAUAAAUCACUAGGCCUAGAGCUAAAAUACACAUGCCUUUCCUUCUCCCUUUUUAAUCUGUUGAGAAGGCGCUGCUUCGGGUUUGCCUUUGGUGAAUGCAAAGUAAGGGCACAUGAUUUCGUCUUCAAGGGGCUGCUACCAGAGAAGGCCGCAGACUGCGACAGGAUUUUCAACGUGAUCGAGGUUGAGUUGGCCUUCCUGUAUGAUUUCUUCUUCACCAACAUGAAUCCCGAUAAACCUAUCGUACUGCCUAAAGAAGUAAAGGAGGCAAUUGUCCACGCCCUUAUACGUACUGAUGGCAACCUAACAAAUGGGAAAUCAUCAUUGGUGGACAAUAGAGCAGUGGACCUCCUACGAGCUUUCGAACAGGACAUACACGCAAAUAAAAAUUGCUCCCAGAGAAAGGGGAACCAGACACACCUUAUUAUGACUUGGCACGUAGCAACAUGGUACUGUGAGAUGGCUCUUUCCUCAGACGAGGAACAGGUGACGAGAAUAAAAAAUCUUAGCUCAGAUGAGGAAAAAGAACUCAGGUCCCAUCUCGAAGUCGCCACAAAACUAUCGAAAUACUGUGCAUACUUGGUGGUGUCUGCACCAAAUCUUCUUCCUGGCCACCAAUAUGAUACAGUGUGUGUGCUCGAAGCAGUUGCAGUGGAAGCAACCAAAUUCCUGGAAAAUUCGAACGACAAGUAUGAAACAAUGAGGAAUUUAGAAGAAUCAGAGGGUGUCACUCAGAGUGCAGACGGUGCCAUCUUUCAGAGUGGCGCCAAGCUGGGGAGGCAGCUCGUCGUGGAGAUAGAAGAUGUGACGCAGCGCUGGAAGGUGCUUGCUGAUUUCUGGGCAGAGAUGAUGUUGUAUGUUGCACCAUCAGAUAAUGUCAAGGGGCACAUGGAGGAGCUCGCGGAGGGUGGGGAGUUCAUCACGCACCUGUGGGCUUUGCUCACUCAUGCAGGCAUCCUUGGGAGGCAGGAAGAUCAUCAAGUUGGAAGCGUGUAA
rnacentral:rRNA from 1 species